AAUCAACGCUGGCGGCGUGCCUAACACAUGCAAGUCGAACGCGAAAGGGGCUUCGGUCCUGAGUAGAGUGGCGGACGGGUGAGUAACACGUGGAUGACCUGCCCUCGAGUGGGGGAUAACUCUUCGAAAGGGGAGCUAAGACCGCAUGAGCUCCCGGGGGCGACUCUGGGAGGAAAGCCUGAGGGUGCUGGAGGAGGGGUCCGCGACCGAUUAGCUGGUUGGUGGGGUAAGGGCCUACCAAGGCGACGAUCGGUAGCCGGUCUGAGAGGACGGACGGCCACACUGGAACUGAGAGACGGUCCAGACUCCUACGGGAGGCAGCAGUGGGGAAUUUUGCGCAAUGGGCGCAAGCCUGACGCAGCAACGCCGCGUGGAGGAUGAAGGUUUUCGGAUUGUAAACUCCUGUCCCGGGGGAAGAAGGCAGUGACGGUACCCUGGGAGGAAGCCCCGGCUAACUCCGUG
rnacentral:rRNA from 1 species